UUUGUCUUUUGUCUGGGAAAUCCCUGCUAUGUGCUUGUCACAGGAGAGGCGCUCAACAAACGUCAGCUGAAUGAAUCAAUAGAACCCACAUAAGUUCAAACAUCACAUUCAAGUAACAAGAUGUUUAGCUGGGCACAUGGCCGCUCAAAAUGAAGACUUCAUUCUUGGCCUGCCUUGCAGGAAGAUAUGGCCAUGUGACUGAGAUCUGGCCUAUGGAAUGUGAAUAGAAAUGUAUUGCACCUCCCCUUUUCUUCUUUGUCUGUUCAUUUUUUCUAGUUUCUUGGAACUUGGAUAAGCUGCGGAAACUCUGUAUCAUAUUAUGAGGGGAAAGGCCAUAGUCCACUAGAGUCACUGGUAUAGAAAGCUGGAAAAAGCCUGUGUCCCCGAGGAAUUUUUUGAGCAAUGCUAUCAUGUCACUCCUGGAUUGCCUACCUACAAGACAUUUUUAAAUGUGAGAUAAAUAAACCUUCAUAUUUUUAAUCAACUAUUUUUUUCUUCUUUUACUUGAAGCAGUAUUUCAUUCUAACUAUAACAAAUUAAGAACUAAAAUUUAGUAAAUCUAAGGUAUUUCAUUGCAUCAAAAAACUAAUGAAAUAAUUUAACACUGUAAUUAUUGAACAUAAAUAGAUAAGCUAACAAAAGGAUAUGUAGGAUGACAAAAUGAACUCAUCCAGCAGUUUCAAAAAUCAUUUUAGUCUUUAAUUUUUUAAAAUUGUACUAUGCUAUACAUAGAAUAUAAUACACAUAAUUGCACUUAUACAAUUUUUUAAAAUUAGGAUGAAAUGAGCACCUCUAUGACCACUGCUAAAAUUAACAAGUAUAGAGUACCCACUUUCAGUAUAUUUAGAGCCUUCUGUGUACUCCUCACUAACACAUCCCUCUCCUUGGUCUAUAUCCCAAAUGCAACUGCUUCCCCAGCUUUGUGUUAAUCAAUCACAUAUUCUGCAAUGUGUUUUUAUCUGCAAGUAACAUCCGAAAAAUUUGCUUAGAAUUCGUUGUUUUUAGCAUGACAUAAAUUGAAUCAUAUCAGUGCUUUCAUUUUAAUAUUGAAUGAGAAAAAAUACAAAAUUGACUAAUUCAAGUUUGCUAUUCCCACAGAAUGUUUGGGCACUGCAGACCCACCAAAUGUUUGCCCAAGAAUGAAUGAGUCUUAAGAUUCCUUAAGAUCCCAGUUGCAAUAUUCUUCAAGCAAUAGUUAUUGAUUAGUGCAAACAACUCCUCACCUGCACUCUGAAUUAUAAGGGAUUUUGAUUUGACCCAUUUAGAUUGAGCCUAUAGAUUUGCUGUAAAACAUGAGAGUAUGCUCUAAAGACGUUUCAUCAUAGCUCAUAUAUCAUUUUUUUCUUUGUCAGAAUUGAAGGCAAGGCUGAAUGAUGAUAAUCAUGUUUAUAUUUUAAUCCAGAAAUACUACUUUCUCUGUCUUAUGGAACUAGUGGUUUAACAUGUUUAUUAAUGAUUUCACCUAAAAGACACUUCAAAACAGAAAUUAUUGCCAUUUGUUUAGUUUUAGUCUUCCAAGAUAACGACAUACAAGUUCUGCCAUAAUUUUUUUCUAAUUUUUGCACCCAUUUGUAUCUUUCUUAAUUGCCUAAUUAAGAGUGGAACACAGGUUUUAUAAGUUGAAUCAUUGCUGAGAUACCUUAUGUUUACAAUAUUGUAAGUGUGUGCAUAUGAAUUUCUAAUCUGUGUCAGGUCAUAAUCAUUUCAGUUUCAAUGAAUUAGGAGUGACAGCUGCUUAGGAAACAACUUGUUUCUAUUAAAGCUAGCAUAUUUGUCAUUAGAGUAAGCAUCUCUUUGGCAGUUUAUUUUGUAUUGUUAAUAAUUAUCAUUAUUUUGACUAUGGGGCAUUUAAUUUCCACAUUUAACAUUUGGUACUGUUAUGUAAGUAACUGACUCAUAAAAUAAAAUCCAAACCGUCAACAUUUUUGCAAUCAUAGGCAGUACAAGUAGGCAAAUUAGAUGAAUAUAAGACCUAAAUUAGUGGGCAUGUGAAUCAUACAGAAUUUAUUAAUAAGAAUGCAGGUGAAUUACAGCACUUCAUUCUAUACUGAUGCUGAAUUAGAGUUCAUUCGACUUAUUAUGGUAGUUAAAAAAUAUCCUUUCUCUUUUUUAUUAAAAAUAAGGAUAUCGAC